rnacentral:rRNA from 1 species
CAGUCGCCACGGGAAUACGAAGGGGGCUAGCGUUGCUCGGAAUGACUGGGCGUAAAGGGCGCGUAGGCGGUUUUGACAGUCAGAUGUGAAAUUCCUGGGCUUAACCUGGGGGCUGCAUUUGAGACGUCAAGGCUAGAGUGUGAGAGAGGGUUGUGGAAUUCCCAGUGUAGAGGUGAAAUUCGUAGAUAUUGGGAAGAACACCGGUGGCGAAGGCGGCAACCUGGCUCAUUACUGACGCUGAGGCGCGAAAGCGUGGGGAGCAAACAGGAUUAGAUACCCCCGUAGUCCCUGUCUCUUAUAC